rfam:Zea mays cultivar B73 chromosome 4, whole genome shotgun sequence.
GCAAUAGGGGCCACUCAGGCUAGCCAAGGAGACUGCCUAUGAACCUCUCAAUGGUCCACACAUUCAGGUCCUUUGUAAACAAAGGACAUAGGCAAGUCAUCCUUGGCUAUCAGAGGUAGGCCCUUAUUG